rnacentral:rRNA from 1 species
UACGGAGGGUGCGAGCGUUGUUCGGAAUCACUGGGCGUAAAGCGCGUGUAGGCGGCCUGCUACGUCUGAUGUGAAAGCCCGAGGCUCACCCUCGGAAGCGCAUUGGAAACUGGCAGACUGGAGUCCCGGAGAGGAGGGUGGAAUUCCUGGUGUAGCGGUGAAAUGCGUAGAUAUUGGGAGGAACACCGGUGGCGAAGGCAGCUCUCUGGGACGGUACUGACGCUGAGACGCGAAAGCGUGGGGAGCGAACAGG